rnacentral:lncRNA from 1 species
CGGGGACGGUCCAUCUGCUGCGGUCAGGAUGCUGCACGGGGACAGAUGUUUCCUAAUGUCAGGCAGGAAGCAAGGACGGAUAAAUGAAACCCAACCGUUUCUCCUCGACACACAGGUACUGUACGUCAUCCUCCCAGCAUGCCUCACUUCAAACAGUCAAAGUUUGUCUUCUGCUCUCCGCCUCCUAAACGAUGUCUUAAUCAUAUAGAAGUCAGAAAAUAAGAACCAUUAAAGGAAGCUGCGUUUUGAGGACUUUUGGGAGCGGCUACUUCCGCGCCGUCAUUCUGCUUCAAAGAAAAAAGAUAAAUGAUGAUGCCAUUAAAAGUGAACUAAUUAAGGAAGGCUUCUUUUAAGAACUCAUUAACUGCAACCUCAUUUACAUAAUGAUGCAUAUUAAUUAAGUUUUAAUGAAUCUGAAUUUCCAGCAAGCCGCAUUUCUUUGGCUGUGGAACAAAUUGAACAAAUUAUUUAAAAGUGUUCUUGAAUCUACUUUUCUCUCCAAAGGGGAGUGAGAAUGCAUUCAUUUGUCGAAAAUCAUAUUUUUCUCUCUGCUCUCUGCAGCCUGUGCCCAUCUGUUAAUUAUUUUUAAUGUAAUCAUUUAGCCUUUUGUUUCUGGCUCCUGCAGGAGACGAUCAGGAGUUGAGGGGCGGAUGGAGAGAGUCUGAGAUGCAGAGGCAGAUGAGGGUUGCAGUUUUGCUUGUUGUCAUGAUGGACGUUAUUAUUAUUUAUUUUAAUUGAACCUUUAUUUAACCAGAUAAGUCCCAUUGAGAUCAGGAUCGCAUUUAUAAAGGUGACCUGGCCAAGAGGUCAGCAGCACAUGUCAUACCAAAUACAAAUUCUGAUGAAGGUAAUAAAUCACAGACAAGAAAUAUGGUUUAAACUUCAAAAGUAUAGCGCGAAAAGCUCUAGAAGAAACCAGCUCUGACAUAUAAGUUCUGUUUGUAAAGUAUUCCAAGUUAUGGAGGCAGCAUAACAAAAAGCUUGUUUACCCAAUUUAGUCUAAACCCUGGGCACAUUUAAAAGCUAAGUUGAGCAAGAACGUAGGGCAUAGGUGCUCCUCGAUUUCCGUAACAGGGACCAUUAGUAGGAUGGAAGUAAGCCAAGAAGAGUCUUAUAAACCAAGAACAUCUAGUGAGAAAAUCUCCAGAAGCUCAAGUAGGGCCACCCAACACUGGCACAUAGCUCACAGUGGUGCGUGAGGCGACUGCAGCCAGUGACAAAGUGUAAUGCCUAAUGGUAAAAAGUGUCUAGUGACCCAAGACAUUUGGCUGAGGCACUCAUAUAUAACAUCACCAUAAUCAAUCAGUGACAGAAAGGUUGCAGAGACAAGAUAUUUCUGAGCUCUGAGGGAAAAACAAGAUUUAUUUUAACAAUAAAAAACAAAUUUCACCCUCAAUUUGUGGACCAGGUUGGCAAUGUGACCCUCAAAAGAGAGCUCCUGGCCAAGCAGAAAGCCAGAGUACUUAUAGCUGGGGACCAGCUCUAUCUGCUUGCCAUUGGUUGUUGUCAUGGUCUGGAAAGGCUCUGUUAUUUUUUUGCUUACAUGAGAAUAGCAUGAUUUUAGUUUUCUCUAAAAAACAAUUUCAGAGAUUGUUGGCAAGCCUGAGUUGUAUAAAAGCUGUUUGUAAAAAUUCUCAAGGCUGUGAAAGUGAGGAAGAGCAGCAAUAAAUAACUGUGUCAUUGGCAUAAUAAAUCACAAGCUUUUAGAACCGAAGCUCUGCCGCACUCAGCCCCAGUCUCUAAGACUUGACUGUCUCCAAGACCUGCCAUGUUUUCUGUUAUUUACUGCGUCCCAAGUGAGUGGAAACUGGACAUACUUGCCCUUCCUGACAUAGUAUUCAACACUUGGGACAGCACAUGAGUAAAACUACUCUGGGAGACACACCAACUGUGAUGGUGUGCUGGAAUGAUGCAGUGUUGAUACGCAGUGUUACAAGGACUUUUUAAAUAGGAGAUAUGGCAUGGAUCAUUUUUGUGACUGGCUCCAAAUCAGCUCUUAGGUCACCCAGCAGCUCAAAAAUGGCUUUACUAUUACUCACUGUUACUUACUAUUACUGUUUCUAUUUCUGAUAGUCCAGAUAUGUUGACACGUGCACAGAAAAUUCUUUCUCUCUUCAUCCUCUAUCAUUGCACUUUUACCUCCUUUUUCCACAAUGACUGCAGCCAUUUGUGCCUAACGCUGUGCCAGUUUGCAUGUGCCUUUCAAACGUGCUAAAUAUAGAUUCAAAACAGUGACCACUAUCGGUUUCCGGAUUUGAUGAAUUACAUGGCAGGUGCUAAAGGAUUCCAUUUUUAUCUGCUCCUCCCAGAAUUUUGCACAUUCUGAUAAUCUACAUACAUCCUGCAUAUCAUCACACUAUUAAAAUAAUGGCCUAAGUCUUUUUUGAUGAAAAUGAGUUUUUUGCUUGAAUCAUCUCUUGAUGUAGAUGAGUAGAUGAGGUCCAUUGUGCUCUGAUAGUUAGGUAAUCUGCAAACUAGGGGGAUGCCUAGCUUGAGAUGCCAAUCUUGAGCAGUAUGUCAAUUCAAAGCGAAUGAUCAGCAGUAUCAAAUUCCUUGGCUGUAACACAGUUUUAUUUACAACCUAAAACCUGAAGAAAAUCAUUUCAAACAAUUACGGCAGCAGUAACAGUACUGAGCUGCUUUCUAAAACUGUAUUGAACCAUUGAUAAAAUGCCAUUUACAUCUAAAACAGUUUUAAUUGCCCACUUACAAUUUUUUCAAUUUUUUCAAUUUUUUUUUUUUUUUGCCAAAACAGAGUUUAGAAAUUGGUCUGGUUGGUUAUUGACCUCUUAAAGAUCACCACCCUAGAAGUGGUAGCACAAAAGAUGCUUUCCAUUCUUUGGGAACUUUAUUUGAUUUCAGACAGCAGCACUGCAAUAUAGUCAGCAGCCAAUUUAAUAAAAAAAGGGGGGCCAGUUGAUCAGGACCAGCUUCCUUACUUGAGCACUCAACACGUCAACGCUGUGCCUGUCACUGUGAAUGUUUGCUGUGUGCACAUUCAGAUUCAGGUACCUGUAGACAGUAACAGACAGACAGUGAACGGCAGAAAUGCCUGGGAGAUGGAUUGCAGAGCCAAGCACAUGUCUCACAACUGGGCUUUAAAUACAGGAAGAAUACUUUAAAGAGUUGUUAACGAUUAAAAAGAGUUGGUUCUUGUUGAGGAUCAGUAUUAAAGAGACCCUCUGAUUAUAGUUAUGACUGCCUACCAUCAUAAAAAAAAAAAAAUUAAGACUAAGCAAUGCAUGUCACUUACCAUGUUGCCCUGUUACGACCUAUAUGUUGCUUUAAAUGCACCUUCCCUCUCUUCCUGAACAGCAGAGCGAGGGCACGGCUACUCCCCUCACACCGUUCUGACUUGAACUUCAGCAGCACCAGCUCAGACCAAUCAGAGACAAGGUUUGGAGAAGAUACAGCUCCUUUUUCUACAACAUGCAACAGGUACCAACUAUUAGACAGCUGCAGGAGGAGAGGACAGGAGCAGGAGGAAAGAGGAGAGCAGGGAGAGGAGAAGGAGGAAAGAGGAGUAGUAAAAUCUGAUAUUAAUUUAGUG